ACGCUGGCGGCGUGCUUAACACAUGCAAGUCGAACGAGAGCGUAGAGAAAGCUUGCUUUUUCUACAAUCUAGUGGCAAACGGGUGAGUAACGCGUAAACAACCUGCCCUACGGAUGGGGACAACAGCUGGAAACGGCUGCUAAUACCGAAUACGUUCCGAAAGUCGCAUGACUAUCGGAAGAAAGGAUGGCCUCUAUUUAUAAGCUAUCGCCGGAGGAGGGGUUUGCGUCUGAUUAGCUAGUUGGAGGGGUAACGGCCCACCAAGGCGACGAUCAGUAGCCGGUCUGAGAGGAUGAACGGCCACAUUGGAACUGAGACACGGUCCAGACUCCUACGGGAGGCAGCAGUGGGGAAUCUUCCGCAAUGGGCGAAAGCCUGACGGAGCAACGCCGCGUGAGUGAAGACGGCCUUCGGGUUGUAAAGCUCUGUUAUACGGGACGAAUAAUCUUGUGGUUAAUACCCAUGAGAAGUGACGGUACCGUAAGAGAAAGCCACGGCUAACUACGUGCCAGCAGCCGCGGUAAUACGUAGGUGGCAAGCGUUGUCCGGAAUUAUUGGGCGUAAAGGGCGCGCAGGCGGCUUCUUAAGUCUGUCUUAAAAGUGCGGGGCUUAACCCCGUGAUGGGAUGGAAACUGGGAAGCUCAGAGUAUCGGAGAGGAAAGCGGAAUUCCUAGUGUAGCGGUGAAAUGCGUAGAUAUUAGGAGGAACACCAGUGGCGAAAGCGGCUUUUCUGGACGAAAACUGACGCUGAGGCGCGAAAGCCAGGGGAGCGAACGGGAUUAGAUACCCCGGUAGUCCUGGCCGUAAACGAUGGGUACUAGGUGUAGGAGGUAUCGACCCCUUCUGUGCCGGAGUUAACGCAAUAAGUACCCCGCCUGGGGAGUACGGCCGCAAGGUUGAAACUCAAAG
rnacentral:rRNA from 1 species